GACGAACGCUGGCGGCGUGCUUAACACAUGCAAGUCGAACGGAAAGGCCCUGCUUGCAGGGUACUCGAGUGGCGAACGGGUGAGUAACACGUGGGUGAUCUGCCCUGCACUUCGGGAUAAGCCUGGGAAACUGGGUCUAAUACCGGAUAGGAGCCAUUUUUAGUGUGAUGGUUGGAAAGUUUUUUCGGUGUAGGAUGAGCUCGCGGCCUAUCAGCUUGUUGGUGGGGUAAUGGCCUACCAAGGCGGCGACGGGUAGCCGGCCUGAGAGGGUGGACGGCCACAUUGGGACUGAGAUACGGCCCAGACUCCUACGGGAGGCAGCAGUGGGGAAUAUUGCACAAUGGGCGCACGCCUGAUGCAGCGACGCCGCGUGGGGGAUGACGGCCUUCGGGUUGUAAACUCCUUUCGCUAGGGACGAAGCUUUUGUGACGGUACCUAGAUAAGAAGCACCGGCUAACUACGUG
rnacentral:rRNA from 1 species